rnacentral:rRNA from 1 species
GACGAACGCUGGCGGCGUGCCUAAUACAUGCAAGUCGAACGCAGUGGGGACGGGUGAGUAACACGUGGGUAACCUCCCAUCAGAGGGGAUAACAGUUGGAAACAGGUGCUAAACUGAUACUGUUGGAUGGACCUUGGGUGCAUUAGCUAGUUGGGGAGGUACCGGCUCACCAAGGCCACGAUGCAUAGCCGACCUGAGAGGAUGAUCGGCCACACUGGGACUGAGACACGGCCCAGACUCCUACGGGAGGCAGCAGUGGGGAAUUUUCGGCAAUGGACGAAAGUCUGACCGAGCAAUGCCGCGUGAGUGAAGAAGGUUUUCGGAUUGUAAAGCACGGUUGUUAGGGAAGCGGUAUCUAACCAGAAAGCCACGGCUAACUACGUGCCAGCAGCCGCGGUAAUUC